rnacentral:rRNA from 1 species
CACGGGUGAGUAACGCGUAUCCAACCUUCCUGCCAGUAGGGAACAGCCCGGCGAAAGUCGGAUUAAUGCCCUAUGUUCUUCAAUGCGGAACAUCGUAAGUUGAACGGAAAAGAUUCAUCGCUGGCAGAUGGGGAUGCGUCCGAUUAGCUUGCCGGCGGGUAACGGCCACCGGGGCGACGAUCGGUAGGGGUUCUGAGAGGAAGGUCCCCCACACUGGUACUGAGACACGGACCAGACUCCUACGGGAGGCAGCAGUGAGGAAUAUUGGUCAAUGGGCGUAAGCCUGAACCAGCCAAGUAGCGUGCAGGAAUGACGGCCCUACGGGUUGUAAACUGCUUUUAUGCGGGGAUAAAGUGCGGCACGUGUGCCGCUUUGCAGGUACCGCAUGAAUAAGGACCGGCUAAUUCCGUGCCAGCAGCUGC